ensembl:snoRNA
CCUCUUUUAAAAGCACUCAGUGGGCCUUUUGCUAACGACCUGCUGAGCUGUCAAGAAAGGGCAGAGUGAAAACGCCGCUUUUGGGUGAAGUGGCAGCACGUUGUGUUGUUUUGCUUCAAUCGGUGGUGUGACAAGG